UUGCAACGAUGAAACCCAAAUCGAUCGAAGGCAUUUUCCGAAUGUUUGAUGGGAUAUGCAAUCUUUUUCCUGAGCGGCUAACUGAGCAA